GGGGGCGACCGGUUUCGACGGGGUAAGAUAAUGAUAAGAUUGCAUGCAGAGGUUCGGGAUCCUCUUUAAUAUCCCCGAAAUAUCAAUAAAUGCCGAUUACGGCUACAUGGCAGCUGCUUAAUUAGCUCUGCCCGCUCUGGAUUAAGUUUGUCUGUGGUUUAAUCUAAGAGCGUCAUAAACGCAGACUGGUCCCUGGAUUUGUUUACUAGAAAGGGAUAAGAUGUUUUGUAAACUGGUUGAUAUAUGGGUUGUUAUUUGUCCGCUAUAUCAAUGAGAAUAAAUCAGAUGACUAUGUAUGUAGACGUUUUGUUAGAAUCUAUCUCGGACGGGAGUUCGAAUCUCCCCGCCUCCACAU
rnacentral:tmRNA from 1 species